CUACGGGCUGCACCAGUGGGGAAUAUUGCACAAUGGGCGCAAGCCUGAUGCAGCAACGCCGUGUGAGUGAUGAAGGUCUUCGGAUUGUAAAACUCUGUCCUAUGGGAAGAAAAAAAUGACGGUACCAUAGGAGGAAGCCCCGGCUAACUACGUGCCAGCAGCCGCGGUAAUACGUAGGGGGCAAGCGUUAUCCGGAAUCACUGGGCGUAAAGGGUGCGUAGGCGGCCUAUCAAGUCAGAGGUGAAAGGCAUUGGCUCAACCAAUGUAAGCCUUUGAAACUGUUUGGCUUGAGUGCAGGAGAGGUAAGUGGAAUUCCUAGUGUAGAGGUGAAAUUCGUAGAUAUUAGGAGGAACACCAGUGGCGAAGGCGACUUACUGGGCUGUAACUGACGCUGAGGCACGAAAGCGUGGGGAGCGAACAGGAUUAGAUACCCGUGUAGUC
rnacentral:rRNA from 1 species